AGAAACUGAAUCACACUGGCUUCAGAAAGAUACUUAAAAAACAUGACAAACUUGCAAGUUCAGAUCGUGGCAGCAAAUUUUUCAAAGAAAAUGUCGAGAAAUUGUACUUUCACAAAUCGAAAGAAAUCAAUGCCCUCAUUCAAAAAACUGAAGAUAUUAUGAUAAACCAACUGGAGAAUGGUAACCGCGGUCGGGCCAUGGCUAAGCUCCGUGUCCCCCCACUGGGCGGAGUCUCUUCACCGUGGGCUAUACUGGCCAGUGGGUGGCUAAUGGGAGCCAUUUUUAUAAUGGCAGUAGUCGCCAUUAUAGCUUGUGUAUAUCGGAACCAUAGUCCCUUACCAUGGUCCCCUGACACUGGUGUGUUACUGGGUCUUCGGUCUGGUUUCGUUCUUUCGGUUUGGUUCUUCUCUUUUGCCACUAAUACUUACUUCUGGAGGUACUUUGGUGUCAAUAACGUCUUGAUAUUUGGGUUUGAUCCGAGAAAUCAUCUCAACUUCCAA